GGGGGUUUUUUAUCGCUGUAAAGAACAGAUUGAUUGGAAACGAUUUCUUUCAAAAUGCUAGAAAAAUCGAGAAAGAUUGAUAAAAAAUUAAGGCAAUCAAGAAUGCUCGGGAGAGGGAUAGGAGAUCUUUGCUAAGAGCUGUAAGUUUUUCGUCGGAAUUUCUUUUUUAUUUUUUUCCGAUUUUUUUUGUAUGUUAUAUUCUUGUUUCUGAUCAGUAUUUUGGUAGCGUAUACUGUAUAGUAGGAAAAUUUUGGAAAUUUAUUAAAUUAGUUUUUGAG